rnacentral:rRNA from 1 species
GAUGAACGCUGGCGGCAUGCUUAACACAUGCAAGUUAAACGACUUUACUAGAAAUAGUAAGGUAGUAACGGACGGGUGAGUAAUAUGUAAGAAUCUGCGCUCAGGAGAGGGACAACAGUUGGAAACGUCUGCUAAUACCUCAUAGUGCUGUAAAGUGAAAGAUGAUUCGCCUGAGCAUGAGUUUGCAUCUGAUUAGCUUGUUGGUGAGGUAAUGGCUUACAAAGGCAAUGAUCAGUAGCUGAUUUGAGAAGAUGAUCAGCCACACUGGGAUUGAGAACGAAACUGACCUCUACAGAAGGCAGCAGUGAGGAAUUUUCCGCAAUGGGUGAAAGCCUGACGGAGCAAUGACGCGUGAAGGAAGAAGGCCCUAGGGUUGUAAACUUCUUUUCUCAUAAAAGAAAAUAUGACGGUAUAUGAGGAAUAAGCAUCGGCUAAUUCCGUGCCAGCCGCCGCAGUAAUAC